GUUAGAAUAGCCAUUGCGGGGUGCCUAGGUGUCUCAGUGGGUUAGCCUCUGCCUUUGGCUCGGGUCAUGGCCCCAGGGUCCUGGGAUCGAGCCCCACAUUGGGCUUCUCUGCUCGGCAGGGAGCCUGCUUCCCCCUCUCUUUCUGCCUGCCUCUCUGUCUACUUGUGAACUCUGUCUGUCAAAAAAAACAUAAAAAAUCAUUAAAAAAAAAAAAAAAAGAAUAGCCGUUGGGAUAGCCUUUAGGGUAGUCUUCGGGAGAGUCAGCGUCGUGGUCAUCAUGGUCGUCGGGAGCAUGGUGGCUGUCCUGGUCAUCGUAGUCGUAGGCAGCGGCACCAAGGCGAACGGCCUCGCCGCCAGCGGCCUCGCCAUGGAGCGGCCUCGCUGUGGAACCGCCACCAGCGGCCUCACCGCCCGGAGCUGCGGCGCCGCCACGAGUGGCCUUGCUGAAGUGGCAUCAUUCUGGGGAGUGGCCCUGUCCAGGGAGCGACCUCAGCAGCAGCGGCCUUGUCCUGGGAGCAGCCUUGUCCAGAGUGGUCUCUUCUUGGGAGCAGCCCCGUCAGGGGAGCAGCCUUGCUGGAGCAGCCUCAUUCCAGGGAGCGGCCCUGUCCGGGAGCGGCCUCCUCCAGGCAGCGGCCUUAUCUGGAGUGGCCUCAUCCUGGGAGCAGCCUCCUCCAGAGCGGCCUCGUUGGAAGCAGCGUCAUGGGAGCAGAGUCUGCGUCAUCAGGGCUGUUGUCCUCGUCCUUGUCAUCUCUGCGUCAUCAGGGUUGUCGUCCUCAUCAUCAUCGCCUCUUCAUCGUUGGGAGCGGCCUCGUCCACAGUGGCCUUGUUGGCAAGCAGCCUUAUCCAGAGUGGCCUUUUUGGGGUCCUCGUCACCUCCUCGAGUGGCCUCAUCUGCAGAGCGGCCUCGUCCAGAGCGGCCUUCUUGGGAGUAGCCUUGUUGGGGUCAUCGUCGUCAUCUCUUAGUAAAAGAUGGCCCCUACCAGUCAGUUUGAUUUUCAAUGCUUG
rnacentral:lncRNA from 1 species